AGUCCCUCUUCGGGCGCUUAUCCGCACGGAUCAACCCACGCUGGCCCCUGGCCAGAACCUGACGCUGACUUGCGAAGUGGUGGGACAACCACCGCCGUCCAUCACCUGGUACAAGGACAGCCAACCACUGCAAGCUACCGACCGGGUCCUGCUGAGCCAAGGGGAGACCGUCCACCUGCUGACCAUCGUGUCCGUGACGAAGGAGGACAGUGGCCAAUACUCUUGUGCAGCCCUCAACCUGUACGGCAGCGCGUCUAGCAGUACUGACGUCAACGUCGAGGGCAUCUUAGUUGACCCCAGCUGCUUGGACAACUUCUUCUUCGCGAACUGCGAACUGAUCGUGCGAGCGCAGUACUGCAAUAACAGCUACUACGCCCGCUUCUGCUGCAGAUCUUGUACGCUGGCAGGACAACUUCCUUACCAAGGACCUCACCUGCAGCAGCAGGGUUAAGCCUCGCAGCAAUCCUACCUUAUCAGGCUCUACCAGCAGCAGGGUUGAGCCUUGCAGCAAUCCUACCUUAUCAGGGCUGCUGGGAUAUGUCGUGCAGCAUUUCUGAUUAACCAGGAGCUCUACAUGCACUGCUCCUGCCCUAACGGUUCUGCACCAGCUAUGGGUUUAAACCCUGCAACUCACCUGCUUUACCAGCGGCAUGGUUAAGACCUGAAGUUUUUCUGCAGGUCUAGGACCUCACCGGCAGCAUGGCUAGGUUAAACUCAAGUACCAGCAAUAGUAUUAAUUUGUACAUAAAUGUUUGCGUUUGUCGGGCGGCCUGGAUAUUCACUACUAAGGGUUCGUUGAAUCUCUUGAGCCAUUUUUUGUCUCAUCUUAACUCAUCCCUUAGUGCAACGUGCGACUAGAUCUCAAGGAAUCUAGUGCCAGAGUUGAUUUGUGCUUCCGUCAGUUGGUGUUAAUAGUGCCUGAGCUCUUUAGGUGCUUCUGUCAUCUAGUGUCCGAGUUCUUUAGGUGCCUCUGUCAUCUGGUGUCCGAGCUCUUUAGUUGCCUCUUUCAUCUAGCUUCAGAGCUCUUUAGGUGCCUAAGUGCAGGCGACAUGCCAUGCUACUUUAAGCCCUUCGUUGUAUGGCUCUAAUUCUGUUCCCAAGUCAACAGACAACCAUGGUCAGCAGUCAGUGUCAGCAGACAUCAAUGGUCAGUAAUCAGUGUAAGUGGACGAUUGCUAGCCUCAGCAACUUUAGACUAUCUUGACAGAUCUUGUAUCAAUCGAAUAGUCUUGGUUGCAAAGGUCGACGUUGCAGAUGAAAUAAAGUGAAUCAUCAAAUCUUCAAAUACCUGUACAACUAACACAAUCAAACUAACAACACUCACAUGUGCGCAGGUUUAAACUUAAAUAAAUAAUAGGCCUAAAUAAGAUGAAGACUAGGCCUAACUUAGGUGCCAUAAGCUGCGCUUCUGAAGUGCCUUUACUGCCAAACUUUCGCGACUUAUUUUGCUUAGAGCUUUUAAUGUUAGUUGUAUCUUUUUAAGGUUUAGAAAUAACUCAUAAUCUUUAGUUAUAAUUCCUAAGAUGUAACUCAUAAGCUGUAGUGCUUCCUUUUCAAGAUAGUUCCCAUACUCUCCAUUUUUCACUAUUCCUUCGCCAUACCUCGGUAAGAUCGCGCCGGAGAUUGAAAUGCCUGUUGAAGAAAAGUACAUAGCUUUGACCUUAGCGUGCGGUAGUCAUGCGUGAUAACCUUGUCCAGACUUGUAGUGUAUGGAUGGCAAGUUAACCUUGUCCGUAGCGUGCAGGGUACGGACGGCUAGUUAACCUUGACCGUAACGUGCAGGUUACGGACGGCUAGUUAACCUUGUCCGUAACGUGCAGGGUACGGACGGCUAGUUAGCCUUGCUCGUAACGUGCAGGGUAUGGAUGGCUAGUUAACCUUGUCCUUAACGUGCAGGGUAUGGAUGGCUAGUUAACCUUGUCCGUAACGUGCCGGGUAUGGUUGGCUAGUUAACCUUGUCCGUAGCGUGCAGGGGUAUGGAUAGCUAGUUAACCUUGUCCGUAACAUGCAGGAUUUGUAUGGCUAGUUAACCUUGUCCGUAACGUGCAGGGUAUGGAUAGCUAGUUAAAAUUGUCCAUAACGUGUAGGGUAUGGAUGGCUAGCAAAUCUGCAAGCCUAUUUCGAUGAACUUUCUCUAAUGACUUUAGUUACAUCGUCUUCUCAUACGUGAAACUCGUUGAUGAUUCGCAACAGCCAAACAACAACAAACUUGAACAUUCACUUUAAUCCCUGAAAAACAUCUUCAUAUCCUGUUUUUAUUCAGUCCACGGUCUCACCUCAUACUGACUGGUACUUUCAUUCCAAUGAAACUGUCAUCCUAUUCACAUGCACAAAUGGAACUGUCAUAAUUUUGAAAUUUGAUAUAAUGUGCCAUCGCUCAUUUUUAUUAUUUAUGCAAUUUUUUAUUUGGAAUGAUUGUAAUGCUUCUGUAGCUUGCAUCGUAGUUUAGUGCAGAAUAACCUCUCUACCAAUAACCUCUGUAUCUACCAAACCCGUACUCAGUUUUGCUCCGCUCUAUUUCACCACGUAGGCAUUCUCAUUGUUGGUUCAUUUUUAUCUAUGUCAUCAAUCGGAAAAAUGUUGUCCAAAAUAUUUGUCGAGAAUGAUUGUUGAAAUGUUUUCAUUAAUCGCAUUCAUGCAGUUUGGCAUUUAAUGUAGUAUUUCUAUUUUAUCAACUAUUUGCUUGACUGACCACCUUCAGAGGGACCAAUUUCAUGAUUGCUACAAAAAGUAAUAGAGCUCAUUUCUUUUA